AAAAAAAGGGAAAAUUGCCAAAACGGAACAAAAAUUCAGCCUCUUUGUCCCUUUGGUAUAAUACCAACAUAAAGUUGUCCCUAUAGUAUAAUAUUUUUCGUAAUCCCGAAUUUAACCCUUGUUUUAAUCAAAUAAAUUAGUUUAUAAUUAUAUUUUAUAUUUUAAAUUAACCUAAACAAAAAAAACAGAAUAUUAAAAAAGGUAAUAAACCAAAAACCCUAAAUUAAACUAAACAUGAUCCCCUACUCCGUCUCUCUCUCUCACGGCAAUCCCGACUCCCUCUUUCUCACAACAAGAAGGCGACACAAAGGCGAUUUGUCUCUUCCCUCCGCCAAGACAACGGAUACCAGAGACAAUUAAACCUCCUCCAUCUCUCUCUCAUGACAAGAAGGCGACACAAAGUUAACGAUUAUGUGAACCGAUUGAAGGAAAUUCUUGGUAUGGUACCACCUGCUUGUUGUAUGGAGCUUCCUUACUUCCAUGGUAAAGUGUUCUUUCUUAAGUCUGAUAUUGGUUGAAUUUUUGUUUAUAGGUUUCUGCUUGAAUAUGUGCUUCGCUUUGUUGUAUCUUUUGUCCUUCUUAUUUUUUUUGUUUUUUUGGUUUCUGGGAAUCUUUUAGGCUGCUGAGCUUGGAGAUAUAAUAGGUUCAGGGAGGAUAUCUAACAGGUUGUUACCCAUGUAUUUGGCUUGCAUGGGUUUUGGGAUUGUGGCGUUGCUUCGUGGUCUGGUUUCUCAUUCGACCAAAAGAUCCCCUGUUUUGGCCAGGAGAAAGCGUGCAUGAGGGUUUAAGCUUUAUCUCAGUUCUUUAUCACCUUGUAUAAAUGUUUUAGAGUUCUCUCAGGAACAGUUGAUGUUAGUGUAAUAGUGUUUACUUGGUUGGAAUAAAAUCCAUGCUUGGAACUUCUGC